CUUGGAACUGCCCUCAAAACCAGACUGGACAACUAGGAGAUGGGAGCAGUAACCAAUCACAUCUCUGAGGCCUCAAGCAAGGCACUGUAUAUAAACUGUUGAACAAAAAUGAUCGCUCCCUUCAGGAGAUACGGGUCACACAUCAACAUUUAAGUACAAAGGGUGACAAAUGGUGUACCAUAAUUGGAACAUAUGUUCCCUGAACUGACAGUACUCUGUCUCUACAGCACAGUCCCUAUGAAUUAAGAUACUUACAGUGAUGAGGAAUGGUAUGCUGGAAACAGUUUUGCUAUUUUCUUCAAAUUAGCUGAAGUCAUGCUAUGUCUCAAUAAAUUAUUUCUUUCAUCACAUA